rnacentral:rRNA from 1 species
AUUGAACGCUGGCGGCAGGCCUAACACAUGCACGUCGAGCGGAGCGGCGGACGGGUGAGUAAUGCCUAGGAAUCUGCCUGGUAGUGGGGGAUAACGGCCGGAAACGGGAGCUAAUACCGCAUACUAUCAGAUGAGCCUAGGUCGGAUUAGCUAGUUGGUGGGGUAAAGGCCUACCAAGGCAACGAUCCGUAACUGGUCUGAGAGGAUGAUCAGUAACGCUGUAACUGAGACACGGUACAGACCCCUACGGGAGGCAGCAGUGGGGAAUAUUGGACAAUGGGCGAAAGCCUGAUCCAGCCAUGCCGCGUUAGUGAAGAAGGUCUUCGGAUUGUAAAGCACGUUAAGUUGGGAGGCGAUACCAACAGAAUAAGCACCGGCUAACUUCAUGCCAGCCGCCGCGGUAAUAC